rnacentral:misc_RNA from 1 species
UGACCAAUCCCGCUCGCGGGGUCUUGGGCACCGCCUCUGGGCGGGCCUCAAAAUCAGUGGCGGUACGGCCGGGCUCUGAGCGUAGUAAAUCUUCUCGCUACAGGGUCCCGGGUGGCACUGGCCAGCAACCCCCAAUCUUUUACA